UACAGAGGGUGCGAGCGUUGUCCGGAAUCACUGGGCGUAAAGGGCGAGUAGGUGGCGGGAUAAGUGUGUGGUGAAAGCUCGGGGCUCAACCCCGAGUCUGCCAUGCAAACUGUCUUGCUCGAGCGUAGUAGAGGCAGGUGGAAUUCCGGGUGUAGCGGUGGAAUGCGUAGAGAUCCGGAAGAACACCGGUGGCGAAGGCGGCCUGCUGGGCUACUGCUGACACUGAAUCGCGACAGCGUGGGGAGCAAACAGG
rnacentral:rRNA from 1 species